rnacentral:lncRNA from 1 species
GGGCACUGUGUAUCUCCCCAUCAGCACAGCAGCACUGGCAGGGGCUACCUUCUCUGCUCGUGUGAUGGUUCUUGUUUGCACCAAAGAGGAAAAUGUGCUUCCUUUGGGAAAUGAGUUGCAAUCUGGGGGAGAGCCCUGAGAUUAUGCUGGUUCCCCCUGGGUGCAGUGGUGUGGCAUCACUAUUGAGGUUUCUUUUGUAGUCCUGAGGUUGCUGGCUGUUCUCCUGUUCCCAGCUCUGCUCCCGAGUGGGCUUAACCUGUGUGCAGGUAUGGACACUGGUAUAGGGCCAGCAUCUACCCUUCAACUUCCUUGCCCACACAGUUUAGCAAGAGGCGAGGGUGCAGAAACUUCUAUCCCUCUGGCAAGGAUCUGAGAAUACAGAGAGGUUCCUGGCACAGCAUCACCUGGCACUCAUAACUUCCUCCAUAGCUGCUGCCCUCCUGGAUCCCCCAGCACACAGCAAGUGAUGUGCAGUGUCCCACAGGAGUUUGGGAACAGUGUCAGGACACCCUUUAGUCACCCGCCACCAAAGGAGGCACAGACUGGCUGUGGGCCUACAGAUGUGACCAGAAAGCAGCACAGGAAGCGAACAGCCUGCUCUGGACAAGCACAAUCCUGGCCAUACUGCAGCCUUGGAGAGGCUGCUGGCCUCUGGGACCACCAGGGCCAGCCAGUCUGUGUGUGCAGGUGU